rnacentral:rRNA from 1 species
GAUGAACGCUAGCGGCAGGCCUAAUACAUGCAAGUCGAACGGCCCCGACACUUCGGUGUCGGGGUAGUGGCGCACGGGUGCGUAACGCGUACACAACAUACCCUUUACAGGGGGAUAGCGGCGGGAAACUGCCAGUAAUACCCCAUGUCCUUGCGAGGUGGCAUCAUUUUGCAAAGAAAGUUCAAGCGGUAAAGGAUUGGUGUGCGUCCGAUUAGCUAGUUGGCGGGGUAACGGCCCACCAAGGCGACGAUCGGUAGGGGGUGUGAGAGCAUGGGCCCCCCCACACGGUACGUGAGACACGGACCCGACUCCUACGGGAGGGCAGCAGUAAGGAAUAUUGGACAAUAGGACGGAAGUCUGAUCCAGCAUGCCGCGUGAAGGAAGAAGGCGCUCAGCGUUGUAAACUU